CCGUUGGAAUGGCGACCGACAUAAAGCUAAUUAACGUUUCCGUCACCUCAGACGGGCAAACGCGGCGUGAUGUCACUUGCUGACUCUGCACAGCUGACCUCAUGGAAGUAGAGCAGCGUGGCGGUGAAGAGAGGCUGGGGGUGGCAGAGGGAGGGCACGGGGAGUUGGUCACCGGGGACAGAGUUUCAGACAGACGGGAGGAAGAGCCCUGACGGGUGUAACAGCAGGGUGCGAGAGUGCAUGAGAAUGGCCUGCACAUUUCAGAAUGCCUGAGAGUCCCCUCACAUGUCUCCUUGCCUUUAGAAUGGAGAGCAAGAAGACCCUGAGCUGCCCGGCUCCUGCCAGCACGGGGUGGCGGUCUGCCAGGCGGGGACUCACAGCUCCGGGUGGGAGCCGGCCAGAGGCAGCCCGCGGCCUGCAGAGGCAUCUGAGCGACGACAGUGGAGUGAGCUGCACGCGGCCUGGAGCCUGGGCACAAGAGGGCCCCUCCGCCCCACCGGGGCAGCGUCUGAGCCUGUUGUCAGCAGUGUUAGCAUAGGAGAGUUAGUGUCGUUAGCCUAGUCAGCAUGAUUUAUUAGUGUUGGUAGCCUAGUUCAUAUAGUUAGUCUUGUCAGAAUAGUGUAGUUAGUGUCGUUAGUGUUCUGAGCCUAGUCUGGUUGGUAUUGUUCAGUAGUUAUUUAGCCUCGUGUGUAGGUAGUGUGGAGUCUGCAGCUAGCAUAGUUUGAGGUGACCAUGCAGCAGGGCUUGGCCUCCAGUGCCUCCAGUGAGGAGCUCCUCUAUCACCAGCUCCUCAAAACAAUCGGCUGGGGCAGCUCCGCCAUGGCGACGCUGCCCUGCACCUCCCUACCGGGACCCAGGUGGGGCCGUCAAAAUUAUAUCCAAGAAGAGCCUCUCCAGCCACGAAAGUGUCUAUAAGGAGGUGGCAGCAGUGAGAACCCUGAAUGAUCCAAACAUCCUAAAGCUGUGGGGUGUCACAGACACCAAGGCACUGUUUGGUAACAAUAUGUGAGUGGCAGAAACCUUUUCCACUCCACACUCCGACAUGGCCACCUGGAGGGGAGGAGGCCGGCCGGAUCCCGACAGAGCCUAUGCGCCGUGCGGUGCUGCCACUGUAAGAAGACGGCACGGGACCGAAGCCCGGCAUCCUCCUCGACGCCGGUGAUAGUGUGAAAAUCGCGACUUUGGCUUGGCCACGACAUUUGCGGAAGGGAAGAAGCUGGAUUCCUUCUGUGGGACGCCCCAGAAAUGCCCCAGAAUGUCCCCGCACCAGGAGAGCAAUGGCCCGAGGCGGACGUGGGGAGCCGUGGUGUCGUCGCGUGCUUCACGACAGCCGGGACUCUUCCACUCGACAGAGAGGGUUUUGAUGAACUGAAACUUUUUCUGCAAAAGUUCCUGACCCUUGACCCCAGGGAGAGGCCCGCCCUCCUCCAGAUUAUGAGCCACAGCGGAUAAAUUGUGGGGCGAGACACCGAGGCCACGCAGAGAUGUCCGCAAUAGGGGCCAUAGGGAACGGACGCUGGAGGGGACCAGGAGAGCCCUCAGGCUGGGCAGCCACACGGAGGACCUUGACCUCUCUCUCUGAAGAGGGCAGGGCCGGAAGGGGCUCGCUAGAGACUUGGCAAGUUUCUCUUAAGAAUUUGCUGUGUCCUGCGGCCGAAAGAUCUGCUGCAUGGGGCCGAACACGGUGGCGCCCGUGACGGAGGGCGGCUGACGCGGCAAGGGCAGGUAUGUGGGGCGGUCCAGCCACACUUCUGCACCUCAUCGUGUUUAAUGCCAUCUUGCUGACAUAUUUUUAACAGACACGUCAUAGAUGUACGCAUGUCUGCGGUACAGUGUGAAGUUUAGGUAUAUGCGCACCAUGUGGAAUGGUGACCUAGCUAAUUAACGUUUCCGUCACCUCAGACGGGCAAACGCGGCGUGAUGUCACUUGCUGACUCUGCACAGCUGACCUCAUGGAAGUAGAGCAGCGUGGCGGUGAAGAGAGGCUGGGGGUGGCAGAGGGAGGGCACGGGGAGUUGGUCACCGGGGACAGAGUUUCAGACAGACGGGAGGAAGAGCCCUGACGGGUGUAACAGCAGGGUGCGAGAGUGCAUGAGAAUGGCCUGCACAUUUCAGAAUGCCUGAGAGUCCCCUCACAUGUCUCCUUGCCUUUAGAAUGGAGAGCAAGAAGACCCUGAGCUGCCCGGCUCCUGCCAGCACGGGGUGGCGGUCUGCCAGGCGGGGACUCACAGCUCCGGGUGGGAGCCGGCCAGAGGCAGCCCGCGGCCUGCAGAGGCAUCUGAGCGACGACAGUGGAGUGAGCUGCACGCGGCCUGGAGCCUGGGCACAAGAGGGCCCCUCCGCCCCACCAGGCCGUGACUCCUGGGCGCUUCUCCCUCCCUGCUCUCCUCUGCCCGUUCUUCCCUGCCUGUGGGGCCGGCAGACGGUUCUUAGUAAACUCCUGUUUCUUCCAAAUCUUAAGUACAAAUAAAGCUCCAGAAAGCUGGG